AGCGAACGCUGGCGGCAGGCUUAACACAUGCAAGUCGAGCGGGCCCUUCGGGGUCAGCGGCGGACGGGUGAGUAACGCGUGGGAACGUGCCUUCUGGUCUGGAAUAACCCUGGGAAACUAGGGCUAAUACCGGAUACGCCCUUUUGGGGAAAGGUUUACUGCCGGAAGAUCGGCCCGCGUCUGAUUAGCUAGUUGGUGGGGUAACGGCCUACCAAGGCGACGAUCAGUAGCUGGUCUGAGAGGAUGAUCAGCCACACUGGGACUGAGACACGGCCCAGACGCCGGGGGGAGGCAGGAGUGGAGAAUGGGGAAAAAUGAGCGCAAGACAGUCGUAGCAGUGGGGGGUGAGUGAUGAAGGCAUUAGGUGUAUAAAGCUCUGUAAAAGGGGAAGAAAAGGAAGGAAGCGGAGGAAUAAGACCAGGAUAAGUUAGUGCCAGCAGCAGUAAUAAUAAGAGGAAGAGCAGACGCGGAAC
rnacentral:rRNA from 1 species